GACGAACGCUGGCGGCGUGCUUAACACAUGCAAGUCGAACGGUGAAGGGGAGCUUGCUCCCCGGAUCAGUGGCGAACGGGUGAGUAACACGUGGGCAACCUGCCCCAGACUUCGGGAUAACGCUUCGAAAGAGGUGCUAAUACCGGAUACGAACUCCUUGGGCAUCCUGGGCGUUGGAAAGUUUUUCGGUCUGGGAUGGGCCCGCGGCCUAUCAGCUAGUUGGUGAGGUAACGGCUCACCAAGGCGACGACGGGUAGCCGGCCUGAGAGGGCGACCGGCCACACUGGGACUGAGACACGGCCCAGACUCCUACGGGAGGCAGCAGUGGGGAAUAUUGCGCAAUGGGCGAAAGCCUGACGCAGCAACGCCGCGUGAGGGAUGACGGCCUUCGGGUUGUAAACCUCUUUCAGCAGGGAAGAAGCGAAAGUGACGGUACCUGCAGAAGAAGCACCGGCUAACUGCGUGCCAGCCGCCGCAGUAAGAC
rnacentral:rRNA from 1 species